GAGUUUGAUCAUGGCUCAGGAUGAACGCUGGCGGCGUGCCUAAUACAUGCAAGUCGAGCGAACGGACGAGAAGCUUGCUUCUCUGAUGUUAGCGGCGGACGGGUGAGUAACACGUGGAUAACCUACCUAUAAGACUGGGAUAACUUCGGGAAACCGGAGCUAAUACCGGAUAAUAUUUUGAACCGCAUGGUUCAAAAGUGGAAGACGGUCUUGCUGUCACUUAUAGAUGGAUCCGCGCUGCAUUAGCUAGUUGGUAAGGUAACGGCUUACCAAGGCAACGAUGCAUAGCCGACCUGAGAGGGUGAUCGGCCACACUGGAACUGAGACACGGUCCAGACUCCUACGGGAGGCAGCGGUAGGGAAUCUUCCGCAAUGGGCGAAAGCCUGACGGAGCAACGCCGCGUGAGUGAUGAAGGUCUUCGGAUCGUAAAACUCUGUUAUUAGGGAAGAACAUAUGUGUAAGUAACUGUGCACAUCUUGACGGUACCUAAUCAGAAAGCCACGGCUAACUACGUCG
rnacentral:rRNA from 1 species